UUUAACUAGGAGACUAUCCUCUCCUCUUCAAACUCUUUUAGAAAUUUUGUUUUCUGUGCAGAUACUCACAUCUCUCAAGUUGAAUGUUAUCUCCAAAUUGCUCCAAAAGUUAUCUGAAAAGGAUGGAUACAUAUCCAAGACUUUCAGGAGAUCUUCCCGGUGAAUCUUAUGCAAGUCACAAUAAGUCAAGGCUCGCACAUCUGCAUUGGAUUUUCCAGGUAAGGAUAAAAUUUGCUCUCCAUCAACUGACACUUCUUCAAGAUUUCUCAAUAACUAUUAAUGCUGCAGCCGGACCUCUGCUAGUUUCUUCAAUAUCCUAGAGUGCAAUUCAUUCGACUUUGAAGAUUUAAACUCAAUCAAAGUUAAUAUAUGUUUCUAUCAAUCUCAGUCUUCAAUCCUGCCCCUUUGUUUUUUGCAAUUUGCAAAAAUUGUUUUUUACAAUUAUUUAGUGAUAUACUUAGUCAUUAGAGAUGAUUAAACCAAAAUAAGAAUGAA